UACAGAGGGGGCAAGCGUUGUUCGGAAUUACUGGGCGUAAAGGGCGCGUAGGCGGCCUUCUAAGUCGAACGUGAAAUCCCCGGGCUCAACCCGGGAACUGCGUCCGAUACUGGAAGGCUUGAAUCCGGGAGAGGGAUGCGGAAUUCCAGGUGUAGCGGUGAAAUUCGUAGAUAUCGGGAGGAACACCGGUGGCGAAGGCGGCGACCUGGGUCGAUACUGACGCUGAGGUGCGAAAGCGUGGGGAGCAAACAGG
rnacentral:rRNA from 1 species